rnacentral:rRNA from 1 species
UACGUAGGGUGCAAGCGUUAAUCGGAAUUACUGGGCGUAAAGCGUGUGCAGGCGGGGAGGCAAGUGGUGUAUGAAAUUUCCCGGCUUAACCGGGAAGGGUUAUGCCAGACUGUCUUUCUGGAGUGCGAGAGAGGGGCGUGGAAUUCCGGGUGUAGUGGUGAAAUUCGUAGAUAUUGGGAAGAACACCGGUGGCGAAGGCGGCGACCUGGUCCUUGACUGACGCUGAGGCGCGAAAGCGUGGGGAGCAAACAGG